rnacentral:rRNA from 1 species
GCUUACAGCUAUACCUGUCAUAAUGCACUAGCACUUGCCUGAUUUCAGAUGCUAGUCAGUGUGAGGCCUGGUUAGUAGUUGGCUGGAAUCAAUCUGGGAAUACAGUACCAGGUGCUGUAGGCU